UUUCAUCUAUCUUGUCCUAAUCAUUAAUUGAGACUUGUUGCAUCUUCCGAUUUUGUACUUUUAAUAUUUUAUCCAAAUAUACUUAUUUAAAAAUUUUAAGAAACAUUCGUUAUAAUACAAAUGAAAUUUUAUAAAAUCUCAUAUUUCAUGCACUUCUAACAAACCCACAGAAUAAAAAUCACAGCACCAAAAUGGUUUAAUUAUUAAACAAUUUCUAAAUAUUCUGUUGUCUGUCUACUUAUAAUUAAAUUUUCCAACUUUUCUUUAUCAAUUCUAUCAUUCUGCCACAUUACUUGCCGCUCUAUCUUACACGGACUACGUGUUACCUCUUAAUCAUACGCCUCGUAUAGCUUACCUACAUAUAUACAGCCGCGAUUCGAGAGGAAAAAUAUCCAUGUAGAGCAGUGGUUUUGAUCACAUAAAGUGGUACAAAUUAAAACUGAUUCAGUUUAAUUAUCAGAGUCAUUCUUUUAUUAAAUUCUUUCAAUAAAAACUCAUGAUUAAUUUUGUUGCAAAAAAAAUUUUAAACUUAAAUAGAUGCUAGUUUUUAUUAAGAUUAAAUUUAAUGAUACUCACUAAUAAUAUCCUAUUUAAUUCUCUGAAUGUUUAAUUUUAAUAAUGAUUAUUAGUUGAAAUGAAAGAUUUCAUUAUCUUUUGUAGUAACUUAAACUUAUUAAAGUUUAAUGCAAACAAGCUCAAGAUUAAUAUGAAAUAUAUUUUAAUAAUGAUCAAUUUUUGUUAUUGUACACAAAAUAUAGAAUACUUCUGAAGUUUUGAGAAUGUAAUAAUAAAUUAAACAAAAAUUUGAAUAAUGCUAUAGAUGCAAAAUCAUUCAAGUUGUACAUUAUUCGAUCAUCAUCAAUUAAAUCAAAUUUAAAAUAAUUUUAUGCUUCUAAGAAAUUAAGAAAUUAAAAAACCAGAUUUAAAAAGUGCCACUUAUAAAUGAAAUAUGUGAAAUAUAAGUUUAUAAAUUUAACAUUUGGUAAUUAUCUAUAAAUCUUCAAUUUCAAAACCAUCUCUCUACAUUGUUAAAACUUUUCUUCGCCUUUUACUUUUUUCGCCUAUGAAAAAUUCAACAUACAACGACGUACAAAUCACACAUUCACAUACUGUGCAUCAGACGUUGUUCACAGAUGCAUCAUGGGCCGGCACAACCGAUCUUAGGAACCGAGUGGAAUAAGCGACAGAUUGCGCCACACCCCCAAAAGGAAAUUCAUUUGGAUAUAAACACAUAUAACGUAACAUAAAUGCUCAGCAGAGAGUCACCCUGGCCAGAGUUUCCCUCAGUGGCGUCUCUCAAAAAUGGACGUCCCUCACGUCGGUCGGUGUUCCCGCCUUCUCGUGUUCCAGGAUCUUUUCCUGGCUGGUUAUCUCGUCCCCCAGAGGCC